CAUGAUCUUUUGUAGGUUUUACAAGAAAGCAUUUCAGAUGGCGUCAUUUCAAAAGAAGAAUUUGAAAAAGCUUUUUCUGAAGCCGAUUUUAAAGAGAAAUACUGCAAAUUGUUAUUCGGGGAAGGAGUUGGUCCUAAUCUUGCAUUCGAUGCUAUAGACAGAGACGGAAGUGGUAGUAUCGAUUUCAAUGAACUGAUCAAUUUUAUUGAAGUAACAGGAGUUUGCAUUCAAGAAAAAUACCUCGGGCUAAAACGCAAAGAAAUCAAUGGAUUUUUCAGUUUUUUGACAAACAUUUGUAAUGCCGUCUUAACCAAUGGUAGUAGGAUAUUUUCGCAGAGUUCUGACAUAAAAAGAACGAUAGGAAUUAGUUCAUGGUACAUCAAAACAAACGACUUUGCUUUGGAAGAUGAAGACAAAGACUUCUUAAUAGAUCAAGGAAAAAGGUCUACUCUUAAAUACCUGCAGCAUUUUAUUUGUGACAAUAACCUGGAAAAAGUAUCUGAAGAGGUAAUUAACUCCAGGGAUAUUCCGAGUAACCCAAGUAUAACAGAUCUAGAUGCACAGCUAGAAUCGAUUGCAAAUAUGUAGUACAUUUUACUCUUAGUAUUCGAUAGUAUCUAUCCAUGUAGUAUUUAUACAGUAUCACCUGUAUUUUAGAUAAAUAAUCAAGCUAAAAAAUUAGACAUUAUAUAUAUAAAAUGUUUGAUGGAUA